UCAUUUAGAGGAAGGAGAAGUCGUAACAAGGUUUCCGUAGGUGAACCUGCGGAAGGAUCAUUGUCGAUGCCAACUAAACAGAAAGACAUGCGAACUUGUUUUGUACACUUUGGGAAAGUUGGAAGUUGGCCAGUAGGCCAUUUGUGUUUAUUCCCUUUAGGUAUUGUGCAUAGAGGCCAUGCGGUCAAUGUGUGCAUUUACUUGUUAAUCAACAAAACUCCGGCGCAAGUUGCGCCAAGGAAAACUUGAACAAAAAGAGCAAGUCCCUGUCUGUUUACGGGUGGUGUUGGCGUUUGCAUCUUUUAAAGAACUAAAUAACUCUCGGCAACGGAUAUCUUGGCUCUUGCAUCGAUGAAGAACGUAGCGAAAUGCGAUACUUGGUGUGAAUUGCAGAAUCCCGUGAACCAUCGAGUCUUUGAACGCAAGUUGCGCCCAAAGCCAUUAGGCUAAAGGCACGUUUGCUUGGGCGUCACGCACUGCGUCUCCCACCCACCCCUUGCCCCAUUGGGUUAAAUUUUAGUGUGUGGGAAGAUAUUGGCCCCCCGUAACCGUAUACCGGUGCACGGUUGGCCUAAAACAAUUAGUCCUCAAUAACGGACAUCACGACAAAAGAGGUGGUUGCCUAAUAAUUGUAUCAUGUUGUGCAUGUCGUUUUAUUGCGGGUUGACUCCUUUGACCCUGAAGAACCGUAACUAUGGUGUAAUGAUUGUGACCCCAGGUCAGGCGGGAAUACCCGCUGAGUUUUAAGCAUAUCA
rnacentral:rRNA from 1 species